AUGGUUGAGAUGAAUUCGGUUACAGCAGUUAGCUGUUGGUUUUUGUUACAAGUUAGUUGGAAAUUCUGGCUGAACCGUGGACGGGCUAGGAGUUCCCUCCAUAACCGGCAUGCACACGUCCAUCAGAACCAAGUCAUAAGUACAGCGUUGUACUGCUCGCACGGCUUCAGCUCCAUUAGUGACAACAUCAAUGUUAUGACCCAACUGCUUCAUCAUGGAUUGUGUCACCAUGAUGUUGAUCUUGUUAUCUUCCACAAGAAGGAUCUUAGGCUUAGAUAUGGAUUUGGGUUACUUCUGAUUUACUACUUCUCCUGA